rnacentral:rRNA from 1 species
GACGAACGCUGGCGGCGUGCUUAACACAUGCAAGUCGAACGGAAAGGCCCUGCUUUUGUGGGGUGCUCGAGUGGCGAACGGGUGAGUAACACGUGAGUAACCUGCCCUUGACUUUGGUAUAACUUCAGGAAACUGGGGUUAAUACCGGAUAGGAGCUCCUGCUCCAUGGUGGGGAUUGGAACGUUUCGGCUGUUGGGGAUGGACUCGCGGCUUAUCAGCUUGUUGGUGGGGUAGUGGCUUACCAAGGCUUUGACGGGUAGCCGGCCUGAGAGGGUGACCGGCCACAUUGGGACUGAGAUACGGCCCAGACUCCUACGGGAGGCAGCAGUGGGGAAUAUUGCACAAUGGGCGGAAGCCUGAUGCAGCAACGCCGCGUGCGGGAUGACGGCCUUCGGGUUGUAAACCGCUUUCGCCUGUGACGAAGCGUGAGUGACGGUAAUGAGUAAAGAAGCACCGGCUAACUACGUG